UGCUAGGGUAGCUCAGUUGGUAGAGCAUUUGCCCUCGGAAAGCAAAGGUCCCGAGUUCGAGUCUCGGUCCGGCAC
rnacentral:tRNA from 1 species